rnacentral:rRNA from 1 species
GAUGAACGCUGGCGGCGUGCCUAAUACAUGCAAGUCGAGCGAACGGACGAGAAGCUUGCUUCUCUGCUGUUAGCGGCGGACGGGUGAGUAACACGUGGAUAACCUACCUAUAAGACUGGGAUAACUUCGGGAAACCGGAGCUAAUACCGGAUAAUAUUUUGAACCGCAUGGUUCAAAAGUGAAAGACGGUCUUGCUGUCACUUAUAGAUGGAUCCGCGCUGCAUUAGCGAGUUGGUAAGGUAACGGCUUACCAAGGCAACGAUGCAUAGCCGACCUGAGAGGGUGAUCAGCCACACUGGAACUGAGACACGGUCCAGACUCCUACGGGAGGCAGCAGUGGGGAAUCUUGGGCAAUGGGCGAAAGCCUGACGGAGCAACGCCGCGUGAGUGAUGAAGGUCUUCGGAUCGUAAAACUCUGUUAUUAGGGAAGAACAGAAGUGAGAGAAACUGUGCACAUCUUGACGGUACCUAAUGAGAAAGCCACGGCUAACUACGUG